AUGGAACCAGACGAGUACAAGAUUUUGGUUGCAUAUAAACUGAAAGGCGAGUAUCAAGUGCUUUUCACGAAGAAAGAGAAGUUUCUUCUCCGAAGAACAGCUGCUAUUUACGACAUUGAAGGGGAGCAGCUGUUUUACUGGCGCUACAAAGGCACAGACAAAACCAUAAAGACAACGGUAGUCUGUGGGGCUGAUGAGGCAAACACAAUUUUUUCAGAUUUUCAUGCCAGUCCUACUGGGGCCCAUUGUGGGCAAACAAAAACAAGAGAAGCCAUUUCAAAGCGGUUCUACUGGCCAGGGAUGUCAGUGGACAUCAAUAAUUGGGUUUCCCAGUGUGCACUUUGCCAGGCAAGUGCUGCAACAAUUAAAAAACCAGCCGAAUACAUUCCGAUAAAGGUCUCUCAGCCAUUUGAACUGGUUGGGAUGGACCUUAUUGGAAAACUUACUGAAACCAACAAUGGACAUCAAUACAUGUGUUUUUAUUGAUUUUUUUACAAAAUGGCCACAAGCAUACCCUUUAAAGUCAAAAUCAGCCGGGGAAGUGACUAACUGUCUCAUAAAAUUUGUCCACCAGUUCGGAGCCCCAAAAAGGAUUCUUACUGACCAAGGCAAAGAAUUUGUCAAUUCUCUCAACAAAAGGGUUUGUGGAUUGUUAAAAAUUAAAAGAAGCCUCUGCUCCCCCUAUCACCCACAAACAAACGGGCUGGUGGAGAAAAUGAAUGGCACCAUCCAGAGAGCCCUGUGCAAAGUUGUUGGUGACCAUCCAGAAAUGUGGGAUGAGUAUCUAGAUGCUGUAAUGUUUGGAAUCAGAACUAAAAAGUUGAUGAGAGUGUGGAAGACAUUGUGGGGCAGGAGGAGCUGUCGGAAGACGUUCAAAAGCAUCAAAAGCUGUUGGAACUGGUGAAGGACAAUGUGGUCAAAGCUCAGGAAAAAAAAAAGGGCAAAAUAAAAAUGAUGAAGAGAGAUGUCGUCUUCAAAGUUGGUGACAAAGUUUUAAGAGCUAACAUAAGAAGCCAGCAGAGGAAAGGGGGAAAACUUGAAGCCAACUUUUUAGGCCCUUUCAUCAUUACAGCAAUCCAAGAUAUAAUGGAUGCCUGGGCUGGAAAGAGUCCUCAUGUUCUAUUCUCAAAAAUUGGUGCUUACAAAUUAUUCUACUGGGAUAUCCAACAAAUUGGUCCGAACAUGGAGUUGGAAAGUGAGUCUAUUAAUGCAUAUCUUGCGAUCAUGGUGAGACAAUGCAAUCGCCAUAAUUCAGCAAAAGCAGCAUUCAUUGAUUCAUUUUCAAUGACUGCCAUUUGGAAGAGAAAAGCUCCAAGAGUCAAGAUCAAACCCAUGGAGCAUGAAGUCAUUCUGGGAAUUGUAAAUGAACAUCAUCACUGGACAUUAGUGGUCAUUUACCCUCAAGAAAAGAAGUCGCUGUAUCUUGAUCCACUCAACAAUCAACAAGGGCAUUCAUGCGAAAAAAAGGAUGCAACGUCUCAAGGUGGACUUGUGACACAGUCAAACACCCAAAACAAGUGGACGCUACCUUAUGUGGAGUCUUUGCAUUGAAAUUUGCUGAAAAGAUCUUGCAAAAAGAGUCAAUAGACUUUCCAUCUACAAAAAAGGCCGUGAAUACACACAGGCUACAAAUUGCCACCACUCUCCUCCUAGAGACAGAUGACCUGACAAACAUCUGUCAUUUCUGUGGGGAAGAAGAGCAUGAAACUGACAAUAAAUGGAUUCAGUGGGAGAUGUGUUUGCGGUGGUUCCACCAGCUCUGCUUGAAAAGCCCACCACCAGAAGACGUGUUUAUUUGUUUCGCUUGUACAUAGUUGACACUAAAGUUGCACAGCUAGUGUUCUUAUGGCACACAUUGUUGAGAACACACAUAUCUACAUGUAGAGAUGUAGAUGUUAAAUUAAGAAGUCUAAAAAAAGAAAAUGGUCUCCAAAGUUUCUGUAGUUAUUAGUUAUACUGUGACUUAUUUUGGAAAUAAACUCUGUCAUGAUAGCAACGCCAAUGUGCAUUAUUGAUGGGGGGGGGGGACACAUUUUGGCAGACACAGCCUGAUAUAAUCUGUACCCCUCCAUAACUUUUGCUGUGAAGAACAAAUCAUCUUCAAAGUUACUGUACUUAUUGGUUAUACUGUGACUUAUUUAGCAAAUAAACUAUUUCGUGAUAGCAACGCCAAUGUGCAUUAUUGAUGGCGGGGCACACAUUAGGGCAGCCGAUGUCACACAGCCUGAUAAAAUCUGUAUCCCUCCAUAACUUUUGCUGUGAAGAAGAAAUCAUCUUCAAAGUUACUGUACUUAUUGGUUAUACUGUGAUUGAUUUUGCAAAUAAACUCCUUCGUGAUAGCUUCGCUACAAAGUGUAAACCGAGUGUAAAUUCACCGGAGAGCG
ensembl:lncRNA